rnacentral:rRNA from 1 species
UACGGGGGGGGUAAGCGUUGUUCGGAAUUACUGGGCGUAAAGCGCGUGUAGGCGGCUCUGCAAGUCGGAUGUGAAAUCCCACGGCUCAACCAUGGAAGUGCAUUCGAAACUGCAGGGCUAGAGUUCUGGAGAGGAAGGUGGAAUGCUUGGUGUAGAGGUGAAAUUCGUAGAUAUCAAGCGGAACACCGGUGGCGAAGGCGGCCUUCUGGACAGUAACUGACGCUGAGACGCGAAAGCGUGGGGAGCAAACAGG